GACGAACGCUGGCGGCGUGCUUAACACAUGCAAGUCGAACGGAAAGGCCCUGCUUUUGUGGGGUGCUCGAGUGGCGAACGGGUGAGUAACACGUGAGUAACCUGCCCUUGACUUUGGGAUAACUUCAGGAAACUGGGGCUAAUACCGGAUAGGAGCUCCUGCUGCAUGGUGGGGGUUGGAAAGUUUCGGCGGUUGGGGAUGGACUCGCGGUUUAUCAGCUUGUUGGUGGGGUAGUGGCUUACCAAGGCUUUGACGGGUAGCCGGCCUGAGAGGGUGACCGGCCACAUUGGGACUGGGAUACGGCCCAGACUCCUACGGGAGGCAGCAGUGGGGAAUAUUGCACAAUGGGCGGAAGCCUGAUGCAGCAACGCCGCGUGCGGGAUGACGGCCUUCGGGUUGUAAACCGCUUUCGCCGGUGACGAAGCGUGAGUGACGGUAAUGGGUAAAGAAGCACCGGCUAACUACGUG
rnacentral:rRNA from 1 species